rnacentral:rRNA from 1 species
AGAGUUUGAUCCUGGCUCAGGACGAACGCUGGCGGCGUGCUUAACACAUGCAAGUGGUGCGACGAACCAGGGCUUGCCCUGGGGCAAAGCCGCGAACGGGUGAGUAACACGUGAGUAAUCUGCCCCGAUGACCGGGACAACCCGAGGAAACUCGGGCUAAUACCGGAUGUGGUGCUUUGGCUCAAGCCUUUGCACUAAAGGAAGCUUCGGCCUCCGCAUUGGGAGGAGCUCGCGGCCCAUUAGCUUGUUGGUGGGGUAACGGCCUACCAAGGCGACGAUGGGUAGCUGGUCUGAGAGGACGAUCAGCCACACUGGGACUGAGACACGGCCCAGACUCCUACGGGAGGCAGCAGUGGGGAAUCUUGCGCAAUGCGCGAAAGCGUGACGCAGCAACGCCGCGUGGGGGAAGACGGCCUUCGGGUUGUAAACCCCUUUCAGGAGGGACGAAGGUUCGCCGGUGAAUAGCCGUGCGGAUUGACGGUACCUCCACAAGAAGCUCCGGCUAACUACGUGCCAGCAGCCGCGGUAAUACGUAGGGGGCAAGCGUUGUCCGGAAUCAUUGGGCGUAAAGCGCGCGUAGGUGGCUAUGUAAGUCCGUUGUGAAAGUCAAAGGCUCAACCUUUGAAAGCCGAUGGAUACUGCAUAGCUAGAGUACGGAAGAGGCGAGUGGAAUUCCUGGUGUAGCGGUGGAAUGCGCAGAUAUCAGGAGGAACACCAAUAGCGAAGGCAGCUCGCUGGGACGUUACUGACACUGAGGCGCGAAAGCGUGGGGAGCGAACAGGAUUAGAUACCCCUGUAGUCC